AGCCGCUGAUGAAAAACCAAACAUUUUUCUGACACCUCAUAUGAGAGCUAAGCUCCUGAUUCUAACGCUUUUCUGAGGCUU